rnacentral:rRNA from 1 species
AUUGAACGCUGGCUGCAGGCUUAACACAUGCAAGUCGAGCGAGUGGCGGACGGGUGAGUAAUGUAUGGGAAACUGCCUGAUGGAGGGGGAUAACUACUGGAAACGGUAGCUAAUACCGCAUACCAUCGGAUGUGCCCAGAUGGGAUUAGCUAGUAGGUGGGGUAAAGGCUCACCUAGGCGACGAUCCCUAGAUGGUCUGAGAGGAUGACAAGAAAAACUGGAACUGAGACACGGGCCAGACUAAGACGGGAGGCAGCAGAGGGGAAUAUUGCACAAUGGGAGGAAGCCUGAUGCAGCCAAGCCGAGUAUAUGAAGAAGGGAUUCGGGUUGGAAAGGAAUUUCAGCGGGGAGGCGUUACCAGCAGAAGAAGCACCGGCUAACUCCGUGCCAGCAGCCGCGGUAAUUC